rnacentral:rRNA from 1 species
CGAGUCUUAACUGGGCGUUAAGUUGCAGGGUAUAGACCCGAAACCCGGUGAUCUAGCCAUGGGCAGGUUGAAGGUUGGGUAACACUAACUGGAGGACCGAACCGACUAAUGUUGAAAAAUUAGCGGAUGACUUGUGGCUGGGGGUGAAAGGCCAAUCAAACCGGGAGAUAGCUGGUUCUCCCCGAAAGCUAUUUAGGUAGCGCCUCGUGAACUCAUCUUCGGGGGUAGAGCACUGUUUCGGCUAGGGGGUCAUCCCGACUUACCAACCCGAUGCAAACUACGAAUACCGAAGAAUGUUAUCACGGGAGACACACGGCGGGUGCUAACGUCCGUCGUGAAGAGGGAAACAACCCAGACCGCCAGCUAAGGUCCCAAAGUCAUGGUUAAGUGGGAAACGAUGUGGGAAGGCCCAGACAGCCAGGAUGUUGGCUUAGAAGCAGCCAUCAUUUAAAGAAAGCGUAAUAGCUCACUGGUCGAGUCGGCCUGCGCGGAAGAUGUAACGGGGCUAAACCAUGCACCGAAGCUGCGGCAGCGACACUAUGUGUUGUUGGGUAGGGGAGCGUUCUGUAAGCCGUUGAAGGUGGCCUGUGAGGGUUGCUGGAGGUAUCAGAAGUGCGAAUGCUGACAUAAGUAACGAUAAUGCGGGUGAAAAACCCGCACGCCGGAAGACCAAGGGUUCCUGUCCAACGUUAAUCGGGGCAGGGUGAGUCGACCCCUAAGGCGAGGCCGAAAGGCGUAGUCGAUGGGAAACAGGUUAAUAUUCCUGUACUUGGUGUUACUGCGAAGGGGGGACGGAGAAGGCUAUGUUGGCCGGGCGACGGUUGUCCCGGUUUAAGCAUGUAGGCGGAUGUUCCAGGUAAAUCCGGAACGUCACUAACGCUGAGGUGUGAUGACGAGGCACUACGGUGCUGAAGUGACAAAUGCCCUGCUUCCAGGAAAAGCCUCUAAGCAUCAGGUAACAUCAAAUCGUACCCCAAACCGACACAGGUGGUCAGGUAGAGAAUACCAAGGCGCUUGAGAGAACUCGGGUGAAGGAACUAGGCAAAAUGGUGCCGUAACUUCGGGAGAAGGCACGCUGAUGGUAAGUGAAGUGACUUGCUCAUGGAGCUGAAAUCAGUCGAAGAUACCAGCUGGCUGCAACUGUUUAUUAAAAACACAGCACUGUGCAAACACGAAAGUGGACGUAUACGGUGUGACGCCUGCCCGGUGCCGGAAGGUUAAUUGAUGGGGUUAUCCUCGCGGAGA